rnacentral:rRNA from 1 species
ACGGCCAUACCAUACUGAAUAUACAGGUUCUCGUUAGAUCACCGAAGUCAAAGCACCAUUGGGCGCGGUCAGUACCCAGGUGGUGACCACAUGGAACACCGCGGGCCGCUA